UGGGGAAUUUUGCGCAAUGGGCGAAAGCCUGACGCAGCAACGCCGCGUGGAGGAUGAAGGUUUUCGGAUCGUAAACUCCUGUCGAUGGGGACGAAAGCCCGCAAGGGUGUGACUGUACCCGUUGAGGAAGCCACGGCUAACUCCGUGCCAGCAGCCGCGGUAAUACGGAGGUGGCAAGCGUUGUUCGGAAUUACUGGGCGUAAAGGGCGCGUAGGCGGUUGAGCAAGUCAGAUGUGAAAGCCCCGAGCUUAACUCGGGAACUGCAUCUGAAACUGCUUGACUUGAGUUCUGGAUGGGGUAGUGGAAUUCCCAGUGUAGCGGUGAAAUGCGUAGAUAUUGGGAGGAACACCUGCGGCGAAGGCGGCUACCUGGACAGUGACUGACGCUGAGGCGCGAAAGCUAGGGGAGCGAACGGG
rnacentral:rRNA from 1 species